UCAUCACCUAAAUCACAACGAUUUUUUACACUGAAACCUCUCAAAAUACUGAAGAUAAUACAACACUCCCGUACUGAUAUCGAUGGUUAGCUGAUAAAAAAAUAUUAAUAGACCGAUAAAGUUGUUUCAAUAAUUAUUUCGUUUUCACGAUAAGGUUCAUGCGGUGUGGUUAUGUUUCGUUUCGUAAUGUAUUACACUGAUGUUUGCUGUGUAGUUGGUUUGAAUUGAAUUGAAAUUAAAGUUUAAGUGUUUGGACUAAUGCACGCUUUGCAAGAUGAUAUAAUACGUGUUUGCAUCGGGAGAGGAUGUGUUAAGUGUAAUCAAAACAAACGCAGUCGCAUGCGGAGAGGCUCCUUUGUCCAACAGUAAAAGUGCAACAGGUUGAUGAUCGUAAUGGGCAGCAACAUGCAGAGGUGUCACUCCGUUCUUCCCUUGGGCAUCAGCUGGAGCGUCUCUUUGCAACAAAAGUCUGGCAACAUUGAGAUGACCGUAUUUUGAGGCAAGAUGAAGGGGAGUGAAGCCUUUUUUAGUUGUCGCUGUCAAGUCCGCUCCGUUAUCUAGAAGAACUGAGGCUACCUAAAAAAUCAUAAAUGUUUAGCAUGCAUGGGCGCUCCAUUUUCCAAAAGAAGAUCCACGACGUGAUCGUGUCCACUUCUAGCUGCACAAUGUAAUGGAGUCAAACCAUCCCUGGUCUUCGCUUGAAUAUCUGCACCCUUUGCUACUAAUAAAGUGACCAUA